AUGAGGAUGCACCUGCCAGAGAAGGUGGCCCCAGAGAGAGUUAAGGGGUUGACACAAAGCCAGAUCUCCUAUGACCAGCUGGGCUCCUGGUCUGCAGGAAUUGAAUGUUACAACAACAGGACGGUGUCCACAGCCAGUCCAGGGGCAGCUGAGGACCCAGUGAGGAUGCUGUUGCUGCUGCUGCUGCUCCUGGGGCCCAGCUCCGGGCUGGGGGCUCAGGUGACUCAGCAGCCCAGGAGGGCGAUCAGCUGGAACGGGAGCUCUGUGGAGAUCCAGUGCAGCAGUGUGGGCCUUCAGAUCCCAGUUAUGUUCUGGUAUCAGCAGUUCCCGAACCAGGGCCUCACACUGAUGGCAACUUCUAAUGCGGGGUCCCAGUCCAAACCCACCUAUGAGCAAGGCUUUUCCCAGAGCAGGUUUGUCAUCAAGAGGACAAGUGAUACCUCUUCAAGUGUGACAGUGAAGAGUGUGCAGCCUGGAGACAGCGGCUUCUACCUGUGUGCUGCGAGUGACACAGAGCUGGGCAGAGAGCAGGGACCCUGA